UUUUUAUUUAUUUAUUUAUUUUUCAGAUAAACACCAUAAAUUUGUUGGAUAUUGUCUGAUAUACAGACAAAAAAACCAUAAGUUGUCGGACCUCUACACACAGAAGUUCCAAGUAAUCCCAGAAAACGAGUUCAUCAGGGAUGAUGAGAUAUCUUCUCAAGUUAUUUUUGAACUGAUGAAAAAAUGAAUAAAAUCAGAUAUCUGAUCACAGGAUUAAUUCUGGAAUUAAACAAGAAAGAAAUAGAACAAUUUUCAAAAUACUCAAAAUUUUCAAUGAUGAAUGCUUUUUUUACCACUUAAUUUCACAUUCAGAACAACACGCCUCGUCAAUUAUAGCAGUAUCAAAUGAUUGAAGGAUUCGUAAAAUAGGAACAGGCCGGCUGAUAGGGUCGAAAAUUAAGCUCUCUAUCACUAAAAUGGGUCUAGCUUCUUUUGACUCUAUCUUCAGGAUCUAGAUCUCCUUAACUAGUCUGUGGACCACUUGAGUCUGGCUACUUAGAUUCAGCGCAAUUCCUUAACUAGUCUGUGGACCACUUGAGUCUGGCUACUUAGAUUCAGCGCAAUUCCUUAACUAGUCUGUGGACCACUUGAGUGUGGCUACUCAGAUUCAGCACACCAAACUUUUGGGUCUCCAAUCUAUUGUUGUUGAAUCUCAAAGCUCUAAUAUCAUGUUGGAAUUCGAUCAACGGCAGCCCCCAUAUU
rnacentral:misc_RNA from 1 species